GACGAACGCUGGCGGCGUGCUUAACACAUGCAAGUCGAACGAAGAGCGAUGGAAGCUUGCUUCUAUCAAUCUUAGUGGCGAACGGGUGAGUAACGCGUAAUCAACCUGCCCUUCAGAGGGGGACAACAGUUGGAAACGACUGCUAAUACCGCAUACGAUCUAAUCUCGGCAUCGAGGAUAGAUGAAAGGUGGCCUCUACAUGUAAGCUAUCACUGAAGGAGGGGAUUGCGUCUGAUUAGCUAGUUGGAGGGGUAACGGCCCACCAAGGCCAUGAUCAGUAGGCGGUCUGGGAGGAUGAACGGCCAAAAUGGGAACGAGACAAGGCCCAGACUUCUAAGGGGAGGAACAGUGGGGGAACUUCCGCAAAGGACGAAAGGCUGGCGGAGCAACGCCGCGGGAGUGAUGGCGGGCUUCGGGUUGGAAAGCUCUGUUAAUUAGGACGAAAGGCCUUCUUGCGAAUAGUGAGAAGGAUUGACGGUACCGAAAUAGAAAGCCACGGCUAACUACGUG
rnacentral:rRNA from 1 species